ensembl:rRNA 5S_rRNA 5S ribosomal RNA
GCAUAUGGCCAUACCAGCCUAAAUGCACCUAAUCUUUUUUGAUCUCAGUUCCUACCAGGAUUGGGUCUGGUUAUUGUAUGAGAGUAAUACUGGGAAUACCAUGUGCUGUACACC